GCUGAAGUGGCUCAGCGGUUAAGAGCACUGGCUGCUCUUCCAGAGGUCCUGAGUUCAAAUCCCAGCAACCACA
rnacentral:tRNA from 1 species